CAUUUGCUUGAAGAGUUAUUGAAAAUACCUACUGUAGCUAUACAACAACCUAGCAGUUGCAUGAUGUUGUACACUCCUAUGUUGCAUGAUGUUGUACACUCCUAUGUUGCAUGAUGUUGUACACUCCUAUGUACUUCUGUCAAAACCUCAAACCGCCUUGCUUUGUGUCUACCCUCUGUAUUAAUAAUAGGGUAAUUUACUGACAGUGGCAAGAGAAUGCCGCCUUCUGCACGGUUUAUUGCAUGCACAUGUUGAUUUUUGCUGGCGUCACAUACUGAAGAGGACGUGAAAAAGCAUGAAAUGCCAAAACCAGCAAGAAAGUGUGUGCAUGCAAUUAAUGUGCGUGAGGCACUGUCCUCUUGUCAGCAUCAUGGAUCUAAAUCACCCCAUAUGCUUCCUCCACAAAUCCCACAAGGGGUUAAGUAUUUUCCCUUUCCAUGUAUUUUGCUAUGACAACACAGUGUCUGCAUCAGAUAUUAAACUCAAUAAGAAACAGGGACUAUGGUAAAGGUUGGGGGACACAGCUAUAGAAAACAUAUAAUGGGAGGUACACAGCUAUAUAAAACAUAUAAUGGGAGGUACACAGCUAUAUAAAAUAUAUAACGGGAGGUACACAGCUAUAUAAAACAUAUAAUGGGAGGUACACAGCUAUAUAAAACAUAUAAUGGGAGGUACACUGCUAUAUAAAACAUAUAAUGGGAGGUACACAGCUAUAUAAAACAGAAAAUGGGAGGUACACAGCUAUAUAAAACAGAAAAUGGGAGGUACACAGCUGUAUAAACAUAUAAUGGGAUGUACACUGCUAUAUAAAACAGAAAAUGGGAGGUACACAGCUAUAUAAAACAGAAAAUGGGAGGUACACAGCUAUAUAAAACAGAAAAUGGGAGGUACACAGCUAUAUAAAACAGAAAAUGGGAGGUACACAGCUAUAUAAAACAGAAAAUGGGAGGUACACAGCUAUAUAAAACAGAAAAUGGGAGGUACACAGCUAUAUAAAACAGAAAAUGGGAGGUGCACAGCUAUAUAAAACAGAAAGUGGGAGGUACACAGCUAUAUAAAACAUAUAAUGGGAGGUACACAGCUAUAUAAAACAUAUAAUGGGAGGUACACAGCUAUAUAAAACAUAUAAUGGGAGGUACACUGCUAUAUAAAACAGAAAAUUGGAGGUAGACAGCUAUA